GACGAACGCUGGCGGCGUGCUUAACACAUGCAAGUCGAACGGAAAGGCCUUUUCGGAGGUACUCGAGUGGCGAACGGGUGAGUAACACGUGGGUGAUCUGCCCUGCACUCUGGGAUAAGCCUGGGAAACUGGGUCUAAUACCGGAUAGGACCGCACUUUAGUGUGUGUGGUGGAAAGUUUUUUCGGUGUAGGAUGAGCCCGCGGCCUAUCAGCUUGUUGGUGGGGUAAUGGCCUACCAAGGCGGCGACGGGUAGCCGGACUGAGAGGUUGGUCGGCCACAUUGGGACUGAGAUACGGCCCAGACUCCUACGGGAGGCAGCAGUGGGGAAUAUUGCACAAUGGGCGCAAGCCUGAUGCAGCGACGCCGCGGGGGGGAGGACGGCCUUCGGGUUGGAAACUCCUUUCGCCAGGGACGAAGCGUUUUGUGACGGUACCUGGAGAAGAAGCACCGGCUAACUACGUG
rnacentral:rRNA from 1 species